rnacentral:pre_miRNA from 1 species
UGAGAACUGAAUUCCAUAGGUUGUGUCAGUGUCAGACCUGUGAAGUUUAGUUCUUUAG